rnacentral:rRNA from 1 species
AAUGAACGCUGGCGGCAUGCCUAACACAUGCAAGUCGAACGAAGCCUUCGGGCUUAGUGGCGCACGGGUGCGUAACGCGUGGGAAUCUGCCCUUGGGUCCGGAAUAACAGUUAGAAAUGACUGCUAAUACCGAAUGAUGUCGUAAGACCAAAGAUUUAUCGCCCAGGGAUGAGCCCGCGUAGGAUUAGCUAGUUGGUGUGGUAAAGGCGCACCAAGGCGACGAUCCUUAGCUGGUCUGAGAGGAUGAUCAGCCACACUGGGACUGAGACACGGCCCAGACUCCUACGGGAGGCAGCAGUUGGGGG